rnacentral:lncRNA from 1 species
UUAUUUAAAUCCUCUACUCAAGAUGAACAAAAAAAUUAAAUAAGUGAAAAGAAAACGAUAACCUAUCAAAUUGGCCAUUUUUGGUAUGUUUUUAAAUUGAAUUCGGCAAGUUCGGUUUUAAAAAAUUAUAAAAAUACAAGGAUUAAUAUGAUUAUUUUUGAAGGAUGACUUGUAUAUAUGAAUUUAGAUAUCAGAGUCAAACAUCAACAUAUUAGGUUAAGAACCCAAAUAGAAUGAUCCAAUCCCUUUCAUUGACGUGCUCGCAUGCACAAUCACCAGCCAGUCAAUUCAAACCCAACAUUUAUAGGGACACUUUAGCAUCAAGGACAAUCGUCACAGUCCUCUUCAUCAUGAUCCAAAUUAUUAUACGAUAUGAUGCAAUAUAAACCAACAAGUGCACACGGGAAUGGGUUGGUUGCUGUGCCUUAAAAAGCACAUUGGGCUUUAACUAGUAGCAGGAACCAAACCCAUUAUUGUGAUCAAAUGUCUGUUUGUAAUUUCACCAAGAAAAUUAUCUCGUAAAUAGUAAAUAAGGGACAGUAUCACGCCUUGAUCUGAUAUCAGUGGUCGCAUGAUUCGUUUGUAAUUGCUGUGCCUUAAAAAGCACAUUGGGCUUUAACUAGUAGCAGGAACCAAACCCAUUAUUGUGAUCAAACUGUUCAGUUUGUAAAUUUCACCAAGAAAAUUAUCUUCGUAAAUAGUAAAUAAUUAAGUUGAUCUGAUACUAGUGGUCGCAUGAUUCGUUUUUAAUUUAUUCUUAAAAUCAUAUUUAUCAUUUAUUUUUUGGGGGUAAAAUCCACUUUUCACCUUUGCACUCUGAUUAAAAAGAUACUUUAUACCUUAAAAAUGGACAAUUGUUGCCCUACAAUUUUAGUCAACCCCCAUUUUUGGGAGGGUAUUAUAGGAACAACUACUCUCGCCAAAAUGAAUGUCUUCUCGCCUGUGUGUGUUACAGCCUAAAAAACAGCACUGCUAAUUUAUUAUUCAAUGAAAUGCUUAUUGUUGAAUGAAAUAUAUGUUGUUCAAAAUCUAUUAUGCAAAUUAGAGCUAUAAAUUGGUCCAUGCCGCCAAUCUGUCUGACAUAGGCUGGACACCCCCGCGAAGCCCAACUUGCUUUCUCAAUCCGGCCCAUUUUUAGGGUCAAGUCCGGUCUACCAGCCCACCCAAAUUCGAAAAAGAAGAAUUUUUGGGUGUUGCAAUUCAUUACGUAUUUGAAAAUUUAAGAUGUUAAUAAUAAAUAAAUACAUACAUAUGAAAAAUAAGAUAUUCCUCUUGCAAGAAUCGAACUGCGGUCUCUCACACUUGAAACGAGAAUCACACCACUAGACCAAACACUCAUUACAUAUAUCAAAACACAUCAUUUUACAUCUAUAUUAUAUAUAUAUAUAUAUAUAUAUGAAGAAUAGAAAAUAACUUCUUCCUCAUAAGAGAAUCGAACUCGCAAACUCUUGCACUUGAAGUGAGAAUUAUACCACCAAACCCAACAUUCAUUACAUAUUUUAAAAUGUUAAAUUUUAAAAAUAAAUACACACAUACAUGAGUUGAUUCGGGUCAGUCCCACAGACCAAGCUGGGGCAUGGAUUUUUAAUUUCGGGUUGGGUGAAGUCUGGCCCACCACCUACACAGACUGGGCUCAUCCCGGACUGAACACGCCCAGGCCCGAGACCAAAUCGGGUUGGGCCAGCUCCAUCCGGCUCAAUUUGCACUUCUAAUACAAAUGAUAAAAGCAUUCAUAAAUAUAUGAACCAAAUAGUAGUAGCGGUUUAAAGAUAAUUUUAAGUUUAUAACUCCAAACAGUAGUAUAAUUAAUAUGAGCAUAUAAUCUAAAUAAAAAGUACUAGUAUGCUACUGAAUAGAAAUAUAAUAUUUUUUAUUUCAAGUCCUAACUAGUUCCUUAAGGGCCUUGUGCGGUGUUCAAGUGAUUGAAUUGGAACAAAUAAUGAAAUUAUCUAUAAUACCCCCCAAAUAGGGAUUGAGCGUCCUUUCAUUUGGUUUUUGGACGAAAUGCGAAAAAAAAGAGUGAACCUUGACUAAACAUGUAGGGUAUUGACUAUCACUUUUGAAAUGCAUGGUGCAAAAUGUCUUUCAAUUAAAGUGAAUGGUGCAAAAUAUCAUAAAGUUAAUGGUGCAGAGUGGACUUUACUCUUUUUUACUCAUUUUUUUUCCUCAAAAACCGUGAUCUCAUAGCUACCAAUGAUCCAUUGAUUUGAUUUCUUAUAUAAACAAUCUCAUUAACAAGGUCCAUCAAAUCAAUAAUUUAAAUUCCAUAAAUAAGCUUGUGGCAGACUCUAUAUAUAAGCACAACACGAUGUUGUGCCUCACUCCAAUCCCCACACGACACACAUAUAUAAAUGUACAUUAUCUGCUAGAGUGGUAGUCACCUAAGGCUUCAUUAAGCCUUUGAUAUGGAGGGUUUGAGAGUUCGAUUACUACUCGUGUGCUAUCAAUUCUUGUGCUAUGCUAGUCUAUAUAAAGGUUCGCUCCAAUUUCAAAUGAAUUC